GACAGAGGUUGCAAGCGUUGUUCGGAAUUACUGGGCAUAAAGCGCACGUAGGCGGUCCGCUAAGUCAUGUGUGAAAUCCCCCGGCUCAACCGGGGAAUGGCGCCUGAUACUGGCGGACUCGAGAUCGGUAGGGGUGAGUGGAACUCCAGGUGGAGCGGUGAAAUGCGUAGAUAUUGGGAGGAACACCAGUGGCGAAGGCGGCUCACUGGACCGGUACUGACGCUGAGGCGCGAAAGCGUGGGUAGCAAACAGG
rnacentral:rRNA from 1 species